ensembl:misc_RNA Metazoa_SRP Metazoan signal recognition particle RNA
AGGUGACAUGCACCUGUUGUCCCAGCUACUCAGAAUGCUGAGGCAGGAGUAACUCUUGAGCCCAGGAGUUCUAUGUUGUAUGUGCUAUGUUGAUCAGGUAUCUACACUAAGACUGGCGUCAACAUAUUAUCUUCCAGGGAGCAGAGGACCACUAGGUUGCCUAAGGAGUGAUGAACCAGCCCAACUCAAAAAUGGAGCAGGAUAAAACUCCUCUGCUCAUCAGUAGUGGGAUAAGUCACUCCACUCCAAUCUGGGCAACGUAGUGAGACUCUAUUUCUU